rnacentral:lncRNA from 1 species
CCGGCAUCGGCCAACAGGGAGGACAGUGCCCCCACUAUGAGAUUUCGACGCCUGACUCCUGGCUACUUCCGGGUGCUACAGAUGCAGGUGGCUGGGGAGCUGAAGGCAGAGCCCCGGAGUCCCCUGGUUGGGAUUGUGGCUACAUUGUUGGCUGUCCUCGGGUUAGGUGGCUCCUGCUAUGCAGUAUGGAAGAUGGUGAAGCAGCGGCAACCAUCACAGGCCCCGUGAUGAGGCGGGUAGCCUCUCGCCCAGGCUUGGAGGGUUCGACACUCAGCUGCUUCAGCCUGGGAAAAAGAAGAGUUGGAGAUCGGAGCUCACCGAGUGCAAACCCUUCCUGCAUGGCACCCAUCCGCCAGUCCUCUACUGACCCCUCCAUACCUUUUCUUGUGGUCUUUGGAUCGGAAAUGGGUCUUCAGGUUGGCUGAAUCGAUGAAGUACCUCCUGCAGGAAUGUAGGGUGAGGGAAAGAGUGAAGGGGUGAGGUCUCUCACACCUCCCUGGCCCUAGCUCGUUCCCAGACAUCGGAUUCUGAACCCGAAGUGAUAAGUGGCGGGUUGACCCAGGGAUCCCAAGACAGAACCUUCUAGCGGCUCGCGGCCCGGACCUCGCUGCCCCUAGCUAGUACCUCAGACCCUGCUCCUCCCCAGGCUGGACUCACGCGCAAGCC